AGUCACUGAAUCAAUGAGGCAGACUGCAGCUGGGGAUUCAGCUCUCUUUAGGCCUUCACAUGGCAACAACCCCCCACCUGUAGCCUUUGCUCUCAUGCCGAAUUUUGGGAAAUAGGUAUUUACUUGCAUCUCCAGAACAGAAGGAACUCUUCAGCGUGAACAAGAUGGCACUGUGUUUUGUACAGGAAAUAUGCCAUUGAAGCUGAAGAAAUAAGUUUCCUGGGGCUGCACCGAGAACAUGGAUAAGAAGCUGCAAGUCAGGAUUUUUAUAUGGGGAAACUGAGGUACUAGGAGGUGAAGUGACUUAUCUAAGGUCACCUAGCAGUCCAGUGGCGGAGUCGACAGUAGAAUACAGGUCUCCUGAGUCCCAAUCCAGUGCUAAAGCUUUUAAACAGAAUCUUAUGAGAAACCCUGCACCUUUCAUCUAUGGACCUCAAACCACUUUUCGGGCAUUAAUUUAAGCUUGUAUCACAUGGCAUAAGUAAAUAUUAUUGUUCCCAUUUUAUGGAUGCAUACAUUAAAGU